ACGAACGCUGGCGGCGUGCCUAAUACAUGCCAGUAGAACGCUGAAGGAGGAGCUUGCUUCUCUGGAUGAGUUGCGAACGGGUGAGUAACGCGUAGGUAACCUGCCUGGUAGCGGGGGAUAACUAUUGGAAACGAUAGCUAAUACCGCAUAACAGUAGAUAUCGCAUGAUAUCUACUUGAAAGGUGCAAUUGCAUCACUACCAGAUGGACCUGCGUUGUAUUAGCUAGUUGGUGAGGUAACGGCUCACCAAGGCGACGAUACAUAGCCGACCUGAGAGGGUGAUCGGCCACACUGGGACUGAGACACGGCCCAGACUCCUACGGGAGGCAGCAGUAGGGAAUCUUCGGCAAUGGACGGAAGUCUGACCGAGCAACGCCGCGUGAGUGAAGAAGGUUUUCGGAUCGUAAAGCUCUGUUGUAAGAGAAGAACGAGUGUGAGAGUGGAAAGUUCACACUGUGACGGUAUCUUACCAGAAAGAGACGGCUAACUACGUG
rnacentral:rRNA from 1 species